CGCUGCUCCAGAGCCCGUUAUACUCAGCAGGACAAGAGGGGACAGGCAGGGCUGCUCACUGCUGUGAUGGGAGCUCUGGGAUGCG
ensembl:miRNA